rnacentral:rRNA from 1 species
UACAGAGGGUGCGAGCGUUGUCCGGAAUCACUGGGCGUAAAGGGUGCGUAGGCGGUCUGACAAGUCUGAUGUGAAAUCUAUGGGCUCAACCCAUAGUCUGCAUCGGAAACUGUCGGGCUUGAGUAUGGGAGAGGUGAGUGGAAUUUCCGGUGUAGCGGUGAAAUGCGUAGAUAUCAGGAGGAACACCUGCGGUGUAGACGGCUUUCUGGACCAUUGCUGACGCUGAGACACGAAAGCGUGGGUAGCAAACAGG